AGUUGUUUUCCAGUGUAUGUAUGCAUAUUUGAAAACUAGAAGUGAAAUAUCCUCCAUGACAAAAGAGAUAUGCUUAUAGACCAUUCCACAAUGACUGUUUUGUUUACUGAUGUUAAUUAGCUCUUUAGGAACUAAGUAACUCAAUUCAAGGGCCAAUAGAUACUUGAAUUUUCUAUAGUGUCCCUUUCAAUAAUUUUUCCUAUAGAAUUUUGACUGACGGGUAAACUUUGAAACCUUCUGUGAGAUUGCAUUAGACUCCACAAUAGCAUUACAACAUCUGGACUUAUUUCUCUCGGAUAUAUAAAAGUUUAUUCUACUUCCGUCAGAACUAUUGAUAAAUAUAUAAUAUUACUUGUUGAUUAGCUUAAAAUAUAUGUACAAUGAGCAACCAUGGGAGUAUAAGUAUCUAUGCAUACAUUCCAUGGUUUUAUUUAUUGGCUAAUGUAUAGCUUUAUAGAGUUUGCAGACUUCAAAAUAAUUGGCUAAAUGUUUGACAUACAUUUCUCUUAGUUGCUCGUGUUCAGGUAUACAUCAGCUUUUCAUAAUUUCUUUCAGAUCAUCAUUUUUCAGCGAUCCAGAAUAGGAAUAGGAAUAGUAAUAGUAAUAGUAAUACACUGCCAAGAAGAUAGCAUUCUGUCACUCUUUAUUCCUAUUUGUGAAAUUUUGUAGGGAAACCCUGUUCUGAUAUGUUAGCUGAUGUUUUCGAUUAUCAACAAGACAAUCUUUGUGGUCUUUCAAUUCUGUGUGUGUAGCACUGCCAAAAAGUGUUUUUGAGUUGUUCAACUUUGUAUUUGUAACAAUUGGCGCUUCCAUAACGUGUCUAUAUAUAAGCAAGACCACACAUUUGAGAAAUGAUGAGCAAGAACAUAUAUAGGCAUGCAUUGGUCAGACACGCUAGGUGAGCCAGAUAAUGAUGCAAAACAUCUUUGCCUUUAAGACUAUGAGUCACGAUAUUUCUAUAAGUACUUUUGAUAAAUUACUUAUCUACUUUUAACUGGGGUUAACAAAUAACCUAUGCAGGAAAGGGUUUCAAAUUGUUUUCAACAUCAAGGGGACGUGAUCAAGCAACAGAAGAAAGCGUAGAAAAGACCAUCUGAUGUUGAAAAGAUAAAACACUUACCUGCAAUGCUACAAGUGAUACGAUAUACUCUGAGCACUCACUGUAAGAAGGGAGCAACUGCGGAGGUCGUCGCCGCCACUAUCAGCACAAAUCGUGCUCAUUGCCUGAGCACAAAUCAGGUAUCAUGUCCAGGAGCUGAAGACUGGUGCACUGUCUGGCCACGACAUCAUCACGCUGCAGUUAUGUACCACCAGAUUGUUCAUCAACCUACCCAUCCGACAAGUGUUCUACUAAAUGCGGUCAUAAAUUUGUUAUCUUUUUUGUUGUUGAACAAUAACGAAGGACAAACAUUGUCACUUCCUCAAAGAAGUGAGCAGAUUGAGAGGGGCCUUGGGGGACAAUAAAGGGUGUAGGCACAUCACUAGCGAGUUUGGCAGCCAAGAAGAUAACUCUCCACCUAUGAUACCUAUUGGAAAGUAUUUACAUUCAUAGCAUUUCUUGGGACGGUAA